CAGCAGCCGCGGUAAUACGAAGGGGGCUAGCGUUGCUCGGAAUCACUGGGCGUAAAGGGUGCGUAGGCGGAUCUUUAAGUCAGAGGUGAAAGCCUGUAGCUCAACUCCAAAUCUGCCUUUGAUACUGCUGAUCUUGAGUUCUGUAGAGGUGAGUGGAACUCCGGGUGUAGAGGUGAAAUUCGUAGAUAUUCGCAAGAACACCAUGGCGAAGGCGGCUUGCUGGCCCGAUACUGACGCUGAGGCACGAAAGCGUGGGGAGCAAACAGGAUUAGAUACCCUGGUAGUCCACGCCGUAAACGAUGA
rnacentral:rRNA from 1 species